rnacentral:lncRNA from 10 species
GUAGGCAGCCUCUUUUUACUCUUUUCUCCAACCUCCCUCCCUAUUCCUCAACCUCUUUCUCCUUUCAUUCUUGGUGCCACACUUCAAUCUCUUCCUUCUCUUAAUUUCAAUUCCCUUCAUUUUCUGGUAGAGACAAAGGAGACACAUUUUAUCCGUGGACCCAAAACUCCAGCACCGGUCACGGACUGGGAAGGCAGCCUUCCCUUGGUGUUUAAUCAUUUCAGGGACGCCUCUCUGAUUAUUCACCCACGUUUCAAAGGUGUCAGACCACACAAGGAGGCCUGCCUUGGUCCUUCAGCCUUAGCGGCAAGUCCCGCUUUUCUGGGGGAGGGACAAGUACUCCAACCCCUUCUCUCUGUGUCUCUACCCCUUCUCUGAUCUUCUGGGGCAGGGGCAAGAACCCCUCAACCCCUUCUCCUUCACCGUUAGCGGCAAGUCCCGCUUUUCUAGGGGGCAAGAACCCCCAAUCCCUUAUUUCCGUGCCCCAACCCUUUCUCUGCUUUUCUGGAGGGCAAGAAAUCCCCACCCCUUCUCCGUGUCUCUACUCUUUUCUCUGGGCUUGCCUCCUUCACUAUGGGAAACCUUCCACCCUCCAUUCCUCCUCCUUCUCCCUUAGCCUGUAUUCUUAAGAACUUAAAACCUCUUCAACUCACACCUGACCUAAAAUCUAAGCAUCUUAUUUUCUUCUGCAAUGCUGCUUGACCCCAAUACAAACUCGACAGUAGUUCCAAAUAGCCAAAAAACGGCACUUUCAAUGUUUCCAUCCUACAAGAUCUAAAUAAUUCUUGUCGUAAAAUAGGCAAAUGAUCUGAGGUGCCUGACGUCCAGGCAUUCUUUUACACAUCAGUACCUUCCUAGUCUCUGUGCCCAGUGCAACUCGUCCCAAGUCUUCCUUCUUUCCCUCCCACCUGUCCCCUCAGUCCCAAUCCCAAGCGUCGCUGAGUCUUUCUAAUCUUCCUUUUCUACAGACCCAUCUGACCUCUCGCCUCCUCGCCAGGCCAAGCUAGUUCCCAAUUCUUCCUCAGCCUCCGCUCCUCCACCCUAUAAUCUUUUUAUCGCCUCCCCUCCUCACACCUGGUCUGGCUUACAGUUUCGUUCUGUGACUAGCCCUCCACCACCUGCCCAGCAAUUUACUCUUAAAAAGGUUGCUGGAGCCAAAGGCAUAGUCAAGAUUAAUGCUCCUUUUUCUUUAUCCCAAAUCAGAAGUGUUUAGGCUCUUUUUCAUCAAAUAUAAAAACCCAGCCCAGUUCAUGGCUUGUUCGGCAGCAACCCUGAGACACUUUACAGCCCUAGACCAUAAGAGGUCGAAAGGCCAUCUUAUUCUCAAUAUACAUUUUAUUACCCAAUCUGCUCCCCACAUUAAACUCCAAAAAUUGGAAUCUGGCCCUCAAACCCCACAACAGGACUUAAUUAACCUCACCUUCAAGGUGUACAAUAAUAAAAAAAAAGUUGCAAUUCCUUGCCUCCACUGAGAGACAAACCCCAGCCACAUCUCCAGCACACAAGAACUUCCAAACGCCUGAACCGCAGCAGCCAGGCAUUCCUCCAGAACCUCCUCCCCCAGGAGCUUGCUACACAUGCCGGAAAUCUGGCCACUGGGCCAAGGAAUGCCCACAGCCCGGGAUUCCUCCUAAGCCACGUCCCAUCUGUGUGGGACCCCGUUGAAAAUCGGAUUGUUCAACUCACCUGGCAGCCACUCCCAAAGCCCCUGGAACUCUGGCCCAAGGCUCUCUGACUGACUCCUUCCCAGAUCUUCUCCACUGAAUGGCUGAAGACUGAUGCUGCCCGAUCGCCUUGGAAGCCCCAUAGACCAUCACGGACGCUGAGCUUAGGUAACUCUCACAGUGGAGGUUAAACCCAUAAACCAUACCCAGAAUAUUUUAUCAACAAGGCAUCCUGAAUAAUUCAUACUGGAUAAUAAAAGGGUCAAUCCAUGUCUCAACAGUAUCUCAACCUUCAAUGUCUUGCUGGAGUGCAGUGGCUAUUCACAGGUCCAAUCAUCGCACAGCCUCAAACUCCUGGGCUCAAUUUGUCCUCCUGCUUCAGUUCCCUGAGUAGUUGAGACUACAGGCACACGCCAUUUCUUGAAGUGGAAUGGGUGUGCUCUAGCAAAACAGAGACUGCGAUCUUCAACGUCUUCUGUCCUUCGGCUCCAGCAAAGUCUCCCCUCAUGUGCUGCCUCCUUCUCUGCUCUUCUUGAUUCAAUCAAGGACCCAGAUUGCUUUCUGCCUUGCCAGUCAAAAGUCCUCAACAAGUGGCCAUAUGAGCCUACCUUCCACAAAUCCACAAAUAUUAUUGAUAUAGUUUGAAUGUCCCCUCCAAAUCUCAUGUUGAGAUGUAAUCCCCAGUGUUGGAUGUGGGGCCUGGUGGGACGUGUUUUGGUCAUGGGGGCAGAUUUCUUAUAAAUGGUUUUGAAUCAUACCCUUGGUGCUGUCCUUGUGAUAGUGAGUAAGUGCUCAUGAGAUCUGGUUGUUUAAAAGGGUGUGGCGGGAGGGGAACAUCACACACUGGGGCCUGUCAGGGGGUGAGGGGGCUAUGGGAGGGAUAGCAUUAGGAGAAAUACCUAAUGUAGAUGACGGGUUGAUGGGUGCAGCAAACCACCACGGCACGUGUAUACCUAUGUAACAAACCUGCACUUUCUGCACAUGUACCCCAGAACUUAAAGUAUAAUUUUAAAAAAGUGUGUGGCAUCUUCCCCGUCACUCUCUCUUGCUCCUGCUCUAGCCAUGUGACUGCUCCUGCUUCACCAUCCAGCACAAGUAAAAACUUCCCGAGGCCUCCCCAGAAACUGAGCAGAUGCCAAUGCCAUGCUUCCUGUAUAUCCUGCAGAACCAUGACCCAAUUAAACCCCUUUUCUUCAUGAAUCACCCAGGCUCAGCUAUUUCUUCAUAGCAAUGCAAGAACGGCUUAAUACAAUCACCCCACUUUCAUUUCAUGUGUAUAUAAACACACACACACACACACACACACUGCAUCUUAUUUAACAAUGAGGCUUUUUUCAACUAUCUGUAACAAUGUACAAAAUAUGAAAAAUAUGUUUCCUAAGGUGGCAUUAAUCCCAAAAUGAUAAACUAUAGAAUAUUAAUCCCAGUAAAUUCCUUGGUGUGGAGGUGUGGAAACAGAGGGUGGGGAUGAAGCAACUUUCUUUAAAAGUUUUGGAAGUGUACAAUCACAAUAUAUAAUAGCAUAUAUCAAGAGUCCUGUAUGUUUCAUAAAUAAAUAUGUUUAAACUUGUAAAUCUAAUAUAUCCUAAAAGGACUCAUCCAUAAAUUUAUUUUUGUCAUCUAACACUACUAAGAUCCUUAUAAGAAAAAGUUACACGUGUACUCUUGCUUCAGUUAUAUAAAAUUGUUGCCUUUGACUUCAUGUGUUAUACCAUUUACUAUAUCCCGCAGCGCAUCUGAACUAAUUCACAGAGGACCUGGUUGGAGGCCUGGAGAAAAUCGGCAGUCUCACAUGUAAACUUCCAGUUUAUUGGGAUGAGCUAAAAGAGUGUAUUCUCGACAAAGUCUAGCAGGCUCAGCAAUGUGGGUUGCGUGUGGCUUCUCAGGACUCCUAGGUCCUCCUGGGCACACAUGCUUUGCUGGUGGCAAUGGCACUCCUCCUGUCCAAGGAGUUCUGCCACAUCCCCCUCCCGAGAAGGAGCUUGCCUUGCUUCUUUCAACCAUGUCACUUGGAACUCCAGCCUUUAGCAAGCCAUAGCAACUGGGAUCAAAGGAUUUAGAUAUCAGGUACAACUUUUAACUUUACUUCCAGUUAUUUCAUGCUUCAUGGACCACAAAUUAUGUAACUAUGACUAGGAGUCAUGCGUGGCCAAUCACAAUGCAACUACCUUGUGUGUGGAGGACCAGCCUGUGGGCCCGUGCAGCCACACGAGCUAUAGUGUGAAGGUCUAGAGAGAAGUGAUCACAGCCAGUCUGGGCACGGCCUAUGGCACUGUCCACAUGAGAAUAUUCUCUGCAGCUUGAACCCAGUAAAAAUAUCGUCUCCCCUAAUACCCUAAUAUUAUUUUGUUAUUGAACACUUUAUCACAUUUUAGUAUAAUAUUUCCUUCUUCUCUUAGUCCGACAAGGAGCUUAGAGAUAGCUUUUAUAUUCAAUUGAAACACUGUAUUUUGGGUGCAUGAUUUUGGGGGAAUUUUGUUUGUUUGUUUUUUAACAAGCUACUCAAAUCAUGUUUAUCCAAAAUUAAAAGAUAUAGACUGCUAAGAAAACUGUGAGGUCUAUUUUGAAACAGAUAAAUGAGAAUGAAAGAAGUUAGAGUAUAAAUGUAAUUUAAACAUACAAUAUUCAGCAACUAUCAGAAAAUAAAAAUUUAUUGAAGAAAUUUCCUAUUCUUUCUGAAUUUCUCAUGCUGAGGAAGAAUGAUUUUUAAAAAAGCUAUUUGACUUUUGGAAUUUUAUCCUCAGGGAUAAAACUCAGAACACUACAAAAUGAUUUAUGUAUGAGAACAUUCAUUGUGGCAUUUUAAAAAUUGAAAUAAAGAAGAAAUAUUAAAUCUCUAAUAUACCUGUAAAAUUAUUUUUGAGGAAUCUUUAGUAAAGUGAGAAAAUGCUCACAACCUAGACUUGGAUAGGAAGGCAAAUUGAAAAUAACAUGUAUAAUUAAUAUAAAUACCAAUAUCUGAUGUUUGUGGAGUGCUUACUACAUGCCAGACAUUGUACUGAGUAUUUUUCACUGAUUACCAGAAGAAAUAAUUUAUUUUGGAAAAUGUAAAAUAUAUGCAAAUAAGUGAAUGGCACAAUCCAAAGUACCCAUAAUUGUCCACAUCGAGAAAAAAAAAAAGACCUAUCAUGAGCAUUGACAAAUAUACCAGGAACUGUGAGAGGAAAUUUAGGUGCAUUCACUCAGUUAUUCCUCCCAGAAAACCAGUGAUGUAGGUUAUUUUUGUCAUUCAUGCUCAUUCCACUAGAUGACACUGCUAUAAUAAUAAUAAUAAUAGUAGUAGUAGUAGGAGGAGUUAUAACAUAUCUCCCCUCCUUGAAAAAUGAUACUUUUAAUGAUAACCCUAAAGAGCAUCAGUGAAAAUUAAAUUUAUAAUAUCCACUUACAUAUUAAGUAUGUUUAAAAUGUUGUAAUUCUUUUGUAAUUGAUAAUCUAUUUGUAGUAUCUAUAGACCGAUGUACCAAGGCAGUAAAACAUCACAAUUUAACUUUUAUACUUUUUUAUUUUCUUGGAAUACAAUGUACAUGUCCCCAUAGAAAUGUUUAAACAGUAGUUAGUGACUGAUUUCAGACAAAAAAAAAUGCUAUUAAUUCAUUUACUUAGGAGUUCAGAAGAGGUAAGGUAUGCUGAGGAACUCUCUCACAUUCAAGCACACACACACACACACACACACGCGCACACACACACACCUGUGGAAUAAGCAUCUCUCACUCCCCUUUAUGCUGAAUGAACUUGCCAAGGGCUUCCGUUGGUAGUGGCCAUUACAGAUGUCCUCUUAUGCUGGAUUUGGAACAGGACAUGAGAGGAGAGUCAGGCUUGGACUGGCACAGGAAAUGAGGAUUCUGCCAAAGUAAGAGGGGAUCCGGGUGCCCUCUGAAGAGCUGAGACUCAGUGCCUUGUCAGAAGGGCUUCUCGUGGGCUCAAGGGAGAAAGGGAGAAGGGCUAAGAUUUCCAUGAGAUGGAUGAGAGAGGGCCUUCAGAUCCCAGGACUCUUAACAUGGAGGAUGUUCACUAAAGGGUAGGGAAACGGGGCUCUCAAAACACCGGAACCAACUUGUAGCAGCUGCUUGAUCUAACAUGGAAAUAGCAGCUCAGACAUUUUCAUUGCUAGACAUUCUGAAGAAAUAUGAAAUUUUCUGAAUAUUAAGAGACCCCAUCAUCACCUCUGUAUUCAAAAUGUCUUUUCAUUUAUGCUGUCAGAAGAUGAUUAGAAAUAAAAUUUGAAGUGAAACCGUACA